rnacentral:rRNA from 1 species
CAAAGAGGGGGACAACAGUUGGAAACGACUGCUAAUACCGCAUAAGCCCACGGCUCGGCAUCGAGCAGAGGGAAAAGGAGUGAUCCGCUUUGAGAUGGCCUCGCGUCCGAUUAGCUGGUUGGUGAGGUAACGGCCCACCAAGGCAACGAUCGGUAGCCGGACUGAGAGGUUGAACGGCCACAUUGGGACUGAGACACGGCCCAGACUCCUACGGGAGGCAGCAGUGGGGAAUAUUGCACAAUGGGGGAAACCCUGAUGCAGCGACGCCGCGUGGAGGAAGAAGGUCUUCGGAUUGUAAACUCCUGUUGUUGAGGAAGAUAAUGACGGUACUCAACAAGGAAGUGACGGCUAACUACGUGCCAGCAGCCGCGGUAAAACGUAGGUCACAAGCGUUGUCCGGAAUUACUGGGUGUAAAGGGAGCGCAGGCGGGAGAACAAGUUGGAAGUGAAAUCCAUGGGCUCAACCCAUGAACUGCUUUCAAAACUGUUUUUCUUGAGUAGUGCAGAGGUAGGCGGAAUUCCCGGUGUAGCGGUGGAAUGCGUAGAUAUCGGGAGGAACACCAGUGGCGAAGGCGGCCUACUGGGCACCAACUGACGCUGAGGCUCGAAAGUGUGGGUAGCAAA